rnacentral:lncRNA from 1 species
CUGUGGGACUAACAUGGCUAUGAUCUGUCGGACAGACUUCAGGCUGGCACCCAGGCAAAAUUCUAUGCUGUAGUAAAUGCAUCAUGCACAUUUGUAACAACACGUACAUAACAAUGUCACAAAAUACUUUCAUGGUGACACCUAGAUUAGUGUUUUAUUGAAUAGCUGAUGAUAUAACUGGCUCAUUUGGUGCCAGGAAUGACCAUCACCACCAUACCAAGGUCAUCACUGAUCAGAGGCCUAACCCAAGGAGGGGGUCAUGUGCAGGCCCAGCGGUGGGGAGGAAAGAUGCCGCAGAGGAGACGGAUGCCCACAGAGGCCCCUGAGUGGAUACCAUGCUCACUAAGUGGUAAGUAUAGACUCAACGUAGGCUGUUAGCUCUCCCCCUGUGCAAAUGGGACCCCAUCCACUUGAGAGUCAAGGGUCUGUUUGGGUGGCAGGGAUAGCCACUUCUGAAGGUAGAAAGGAAAAUAAGCCACCAAAUUGGUACCUUUCUGUGAAAUGGACAUCGUGCUCAGAAUCUCCAUUUUCCCCACAACCUGGAGGAAUAAGUACUGUCAUCUGCAUUUUAUAGCUGAGGAACCUGACUGAACAAAAUUGAAUUACUCGCCUAAGCAAUUAGCAAUUAACCAAGUCUUUCUGACUCAGAAACCCAGCUGUUGCCUGUUCAUAUCCAGCCCCUGUGUUGGUGUCAAGAUCUGGCCUGUUCUCAAUGCAGCAAGAUCCAGGCAGAUCACACUGGACUCCCAGCACUGAAUCUGGCUGAAGGGGUCAUCAAAUUUGACUGGGUCAUGGGGCUCAGGAGCAUCACUCUAAAAAAUAGCAGUACAGGAAGAGGCGAUGGCCCUAAACAGCAUUUGCAGGCAGAUCCCAUGUUAAUCGUAAGGGUCAGGACUCUCUCACUUUUCUGUCUCUCUCUCUGUCUCUCCUCUAGGGCUGACCUCACAUUGGACACCACUGCUUCCAUGUCCAUCACACACCACAGCUGCCUUUUCUUCUGCCUGCUUAUGGGAAAGUCCCCUCCUCUCCUCCGUUUUCUUCUCUUCCUGCCCUAUCACACCGUGCACUUCUCCCUUUCCUUAAAGAACCACCAUCAACUUUAGGAGGAGGGAAAGGGGUGGCUCUGGCAGGAAAAGCCAGAAUCCCCUCUAGCCAACAGAGAGAGAGGAAUGGCUGCAUGUUUUCUCCCCCAAUCCAAGGCACUGGGUCUUGGCUGAGUUGCAGGUUCCAAGCUGCUCUCCUGCUGUGUCGGUGAGUUCUGGUCAACCUGCAACCUCCUGAUGUGGCCACUGCAGUUCAUCGAGUCUUCAGGGACUCCCCAUGGCCUAGAGUGCUUUGCCUUGCUUACACGGGAGAGGAGAAUGGAUUUAUAGAGAACAUCAUCUAAAUCCAACUUGACCAUUGUGUGGCCACACUUGCUAGAUUGCUAUAGUCUAAAUCUAGCAUUGUAGAAAGACAGGGGAGCUUGGAGCUGCACAAACCCAGGUCUGGAACUGGCUCCUUACCUUGGAAGGUGAAUGAUCCUGGCAGGACUUAGCCUCCCUGGGCCUCAGUUUCUUUAUCUGUUUCAUGGGAAUGAGGAUCUCUGCUGGUUGGUUGGGUGAUGUGGGGGCUGUGUGAAAACAGCUUGUCAAUACAAGCCGAAAUUGAAAUAUUUCUCCACAGAGUAUGAAGGUCAAAUGAGAGAAUACAUUUAAAUUAAAUGGAAAAUUAAAAUGGCAAAAAAGGCAAAGCUGUAUUGAAAGUUCCGAGCUUCUCUAUAAGGAGCUUUUUGACUAUGUAAGAAUCCUGUACUCGUUCCCGCUAAAUACAAAAAAAAAAAAAAAAAAAAAAAAAGUUGAAGGAGGCAGAAGGGAGAGUGAUGCACGAUGGGCGAGGACUUCACCUGCUGUUGCUGGCUUUGAGGAUAGAGAAAGAAGGCCACAAACCUAGAAGCUGGAGCCCCUAGAAGCUAGAAAAGACAGGGAGCCGAUUCAUCCCUUAAGCCUCCAGAAGGGACAUAGCCCCGCUAGCACCUUGAUUUUAGCCCAGUGAGAUCCUCUUAGGAAUUUUGGCAACCAGAACUGUAAGACAGAAAUGGAAGCCACUGAGUCCGUAGCUGUUUGUUGCAGCAGCAAUAGAAAACUAAUGCAGAGCCCAAGAAAUCACUGGUGAUGAGAUGGGGAAAAUGGGCUCAGGAGGUCUGGAUCUGUGAUGAGAUGGGGAAAGUGGGCUCAGGAGGUCUGGAUCUGUGAUGAGAUGGGGGAAGUGGGCUCAGGAGGUCUGGAUCUGCGGUGCGGAUCUGGAGUGGAAGGGGAAUUCAUUUGUUCAUUGUCUAUCCUUUUGCAUUGAUUGAGUUUUUUUCUAUAUAUAUGUGUGAAUUUUCACAAUAACAGUUUUUUCCAAAAUAAAAUAAAAGAACAAAAGGGGCUUUUUGCAACCCAAAUCCUAUCUAUGUCUGAGUCCACUUGUAUUGAAUGAGUCUUUCUGCUAACGUCCUUAUAUUUGGGUGACAAUCUGAAUGUCAGCGACCAAUCAGAGCAGAGGCAAAUCUUGGAGUGGCAAUUGGUGAAUCUGCACAGUGGUGUUUCAAUAUUGUCACAACCCUUCUGUCUCUCAUGCUCUCAAAAAGCAUUUCUCUUACCUGUGACAGACUUCCUAUACCUAACAGCUUGCAAAAGUGUUCCAGGUUAAUGAGAAUAAUCUCUCGGAGCCAUAUCUCCCUGCUUGGGGUCUCAGUUUCCCCAACUGUCUCCAGACAAGUUAGGCUAGAAGGCCCCUGAGCCUCAGCCCCUCUAUACCCCUCCUGUCACCCAGACCUGAUCUGGGUCUUGCACCCUGGGUGCAGCAUGACAGGGGUGGGCAGGGGCUGGCUCUGGGCCAGAGGACCCUUUCUGAUGGACUUCAGCUGUUGGCCUUGCAGGGGAGACAGAUCAACCUCACAAGAGUCAUACGGUGAGUAGCGGUGGGCAAAUCCAUCCCCCUCGUCUUAGAUUUAUGGGGAGACAGACAAAGAGGAGACACUCCAGGAAGACCUGCAGGUGGGAGUACCAGGUUGAAACCAAGGACACCUUCCUGGAGGAGCUGCUGCUUGAGCCAGCUCUGAGAACAGGUGGGGACAGGACUGGAGAGGAGGAGGGGGUCCCCUAUGAGCAAAGACUGGCCACCACCCCAUCUAACACCCCCACAGGGCCCCUGUGGCAUCCCUGUCCAGUCCCUGUCACCACCCAGUUUUUCCCUCUGGACCCAGGAAUUCAAAGUAAGCAAGGAGGUCCGCUGCUCCAGUUGGCUGCAAAUAAUUACAACCUUGAGCCCAAGCAGCACUUUGGGUCCUGGUUUGGGACCAUGAAGCGGCUCGGUGAGACUGAGAGGUAAGGCCAGGGCAGGAAUUGGGACAGUAGGAUUGAACUCUCCCUGGGGGCCAGCCUCAGAAAGCCUUUGGCCAUAGCCUCUUGGCCAACAUCAGAUCCUGUGGUCUGGCAAUGCCUGGGGUACCCAGACCUCACUCUGGACAGGCCCUGGGAGGGGGCUCUGGUGAGAUCCCUGGCAGCCUCACAGCCACUCUUCUGUCCGUAGCUACAACCUGUCAUGCCAGCUGGAGGCUCCAUCCCAGUUGGCUGGGAGCACAAAGGCCAGGAAGAUAGACAUCACCCACCACAGGGGCCAGUCGGGGCCUGAGCCAGGGCGGGCAGAGGUUGGCUGCCUUGGGAUAUGGGUGGGCUCAGGGAGUCAGACAGCAAGGGACUAGCCUCCCAUCCUACUGCUGACCAGACCUGUGACUGGGGAGAGUCACCUUACUUCUCUGGGCCUCAGUUUCCCCCUCUGUGGAGUGACGCUAAAUGAUCUCUCUGGAGACGGGGAUCAAUAGGGCACUGGUGAUUGACCAGGCACUCAGCACAUGCCUGGAGCACACAGUGCAGGACUGUGGUGGGGAGGUGGCCUGAGAUCCUGGGGAGUCACCCAUGUGUGCCUGCCCUUCCGACCAGCCACCAGGCCCUCAGGGCAGAGCCCACUACCAGCAGCAGCUCACACCCCGAGACCAGCUCAGAGGCGGCCCCUACCUCAGCAGCAGGGACAUCAUGGACACUUUAAGCUGGUACUAGGGUGGCUUCUCCAGCUCCCACGUGGAGAGGGGUCCCAGCUGAGUCCCACUCACGUGGAGUCUCAUGCCCAUGAAAGUGCCAUUCACCACUGGCCAGGCUCAUGAGGCCGCAUGAGAGGGGGGUCACUGGGGAGGAGAUAUCGGGGGAACAGAGAGGAUGGUUGAAUUUUUGUAUAAUAGGCAGUGCAAGUGUUUACCAUUUGGGAGGGGAAAGGUUUGUUAUUAUUAGCAACGCUACACUUGAAUAUUAUACUAAAAUCCAGUCUCUCUAUAACCUGGGAGUUGCUCUUUUGUUCUUUCUUUUCCUGUCUUAAUUAAAAUGAGAUGCAGACUCUCACGGUCCACAGUCAAUUAAGAAAUCUUGCACGGCCAACAGGUUAUGUCUUGGAGAGCAGAGUUUCAGUACCAUCAGCCUGGCAAGGAGCUGGGCCUGCUCCUCAGAGCUCCCGGGACUGCGAGAUUUGGCACGUUCACAGGGCACCGUCACAGCCUCUGAAACAUGCUGUCUUUAAAGACUUUUGCAGUGGCUCACUCACUCACAGUGGGAUGCGGUGGCUCACUCCUGUAAUCCCAGCACUUUGGGAGGAAGAAGCGGGUGGCUCACUUGAGGCCAGGAGUUAGAGACCAACAUGGCCAACAUGGCAAAACCCCAUCGCUACUAAAAAUACAAAAAAUUAGCCAGGUGUGGUGUCAGGUGCCUGUAAUUCCAGCUACUCAGGAGGCUGAGGUAGGAGAAUUGCUUGAACCCAGGAGGCGGAGGUUGCAAUGAGCAGAGAUCACACUACUGUACUCCAGUCUGGGCAACAAGAGCAAAACUUCAUCUCAAAAUAAAAAUAAAAAAAAAAAAACACAGAGACAUUUGCAAGGACCAUGUCCUCACCCAGAAUGGUGCCUGCCUUUCUACAGUUUUUCAGGAAGAGGAAACAUUUUCUGCUUCUCUCGCUGCGGUUUUUUUUAACCACCCAUUAGGAACCUAUAGAUUUCAGGAUCGAACACUGGGAUUCCCUCAGCACUAAAGGAGGAAAAUUGCAAACAGAGCUGGAAGUGCAAUGUGGAAAGGUCAGGCUGAGGAAGGUUCUUAGCCAGUAGACCAAGGGCAGGAAGGACACUGCCUCCUCAGUCUCCCACCAGGGAACUUGUGAUUCUUGUCCCCUGAUGUCAGAAUUCCUUGUCAUGUUUGUUUUGUCUCCAAGGGAAGGGUUUGAAUUUCAGAAUUUAAGGCUAGAGUGGGCCUCGUGCAGUUAACAUUAACCCUCUCUCUCCUUCGCUGGCCGAGGUGAGGUCCAGGACCAUGUAGUUCUGACGUCCACUCUCUCGGGGGAUCACCAGUUCACCCAUCUCACCCGGCAAGCUGGGCCCUAGUUUGGCGACAGGCAUCUUCCACCCACCUGGGAGGCAGGGUUCAACACUCUGCCUCUGACCUUGUUUCCUUCUCCUGCCACCUGCUUAGGCAACCAGAAGGGGUUGUCCAGCCAGCACCUGGGCUUCAGCGCUCCUCAAGCAGGUGGAGGAAGUUUCAGGCACCUGGCUCCUCAGGUGUCUGCCAUCCAGGUGCUCUUCAGGCUUGCCCAGCAGAGCUCUCUUGAUCCAGCUAGAACUGGCCAGAACUGACUCACUCAGGAAUGUGUAGACUUUGGCAUCAGGGGCUGCUUUAAUUUGCACAAUUUCCAAAUGCCUCUUUUUUCUUCUUUUUCUGAUGAGUCAUCUCCCUAGACUUGCAUUUUAAAGAGAUAGAUAGUUAUCAGGUUCCAGAGAAGACGUGGUAGAACAUUUAUAUCUCAAAGACACAGAGCUGAGACUUCAGGUUUAGAUAUUAUAAUUUGCCUAAACCAAAAAGGAAGGUGUAGGUAAAGUUCUAGUCAAGACAGGAUGGCCAGGAAAAACACCUUAAACCAAGGGAUGGCUUGCUUUGCUGAUUUAAGCCAAUGGCUUCUUUAUCAUAAGACUUCCCAGUGAUUUAGUCCUCCCUCUCUUCCAGUGCACAGAGACAUACCCCUCCUUACAAAUUAAAAAUGUUCUUUAUAGAUGGAAAUUUAUUUUACAAAAAUGUUUCAAAAUAACCAGAUGAAAAUCAUCCUUAUGCCAGAAAGACUUUAUUUUUUUAUUACUAGAAAUGAAACAGUAAGUAUUUGUUGUAUUGACAUACUUAGGCUUAGACCUAUGUUUAACAAGAAAGCCUAAUAAUAGCACUGUGGUUAGACUCUAGCCUAUUUUUCCAAACCAUCAUUUUAUUAUUAAGGAAACAAAGGAUCAAAUACCUUUCAUUCAUCUGAUGUGAUCCUUUAAAACACAUUCCACCAAUAAGUCCUAUUUGGAACAGCUGAAAAUCUUUUAAUAAAACUUUUUAAAGAUGAGCUCAUGGCUUAGUGUAAAUUUCACAAGCUUAAUUAGGUCAAGUGGAAGGAACUCAGAUGAGUAGUUGCCCAAUCAGAGCCCAUUAUUUGUAAGUCAUCAGCCCCCUCCAUGACCUUAAAACUCCACUCUGACCUAAUUAUUGCAAACCUAUACACAACAAAGUGAAAGGAUUAAUUUUCAUUCAUCAACCUCUCAAUCCCAGAUUCUCAAAGAGAAAACCUGUGUAAGGAAUACUUACCAAAACCAGACAGGAAAAUUAGAGCCUGCAUACUUAAGAGUCAAAUUUGUUCCACUACAGCCAGGUCGCAUACAGUUACAUCAUUUGGUUCUUCAUACACUCUAGAACUGACCAGGACAGAGUUUAGCAUAGAAAAACUGUAAGAAAUAGGUUCUGAAACAUAGAAAUCGCAAAGUUCAAAAGGCUAUGAAAAAGACUAAUGUAAAUGAGACUUCCCUCCCUUUGUUUUAAAUAAAUAGACCCAUCAGAGAAAUGCAAAUCAAAACCACAAUGAGAUACCAUCUCACACCAGUUAGAAUGGCGAUCAUUAAAAAGUCAGGAAACAACAGGUGCUGCUGAGGAUGUGGAGAAAUAGGAACACUUUCACACUGUUGGUGGGACUGUAAACUAGUUCAACCAUUGUGGAAGACAGUGUGGCCAUUCCUCAGGGAUCUAGAACUAGAAAUACCAUUUGACCCAGCCAUCCCACUACUGGGUAUAUACCCAAAGGAUUAUAAAUCAUGCUGCUAUAAAGACACAUGCACACGUAUGUUUAUUGUGGCACUACUCACAAUAGCAAAGACUUGGAACAAACCCAAAUGUCCAAAAACGAUAGACUGGAUUAAGAAAAUGUGGCACGUAUACACCAUGGAAUACUAUGCAGCCAUAAAAAAUGAUGAGUUCAUAUCCUUUGUAGGGACAUGGAUGAAGCUGGAAACCAUCAUUCUUAGCAAACUAUCACAAGGACAAAAAACCAAACACCGCAUGUUCUCACUCAUAGAUGGGAAUUGAACAAUGAGAACACUUGGACACAGGAAGGGGAACAUCACACACCAGGGCCUGUUGUGGGGCGGGGGGAGUGGGGAGGGAUAGCAUUAGGAGAUAUGCCUAAUAUAAAUGAUGAGUUAAUGGGUGCAGCACACCAACAUGGCACAUGUAUUCAUAUGCAACAAAUCUGCACAUUGUGCAUGUGUACCCUAGAAUUUAAAGUAUAAUAAAAAAUAAAAAAGAAAGAAAUAGAUGUUCUGUAAAAAUAUACACAAUUUUUACAGACAAAUACAUUUAUAAGUUGUUUUUAUCUUAAAAAUUGGGGAUAUUUCAUAUUUAUAACUAAUUAUUGAGCCUUAAGUUUUCUUGGCCAUUUCUAGGCUAAUAAACUAAGAAUCAUGUAAACUAAGCCAAAGUAGAAUAGACAUAAAAGUCCUGAACACUUCAACUUCCUAUUCUUCAAGAAGUAUACUUGGCAAAUCUCAUUUGAGAGAGGAAAAGCUUUCCUCCACCCUCUGUUUUACAGCGCUGAGGCUUCUCAUCACAUUUCUAUGACUUGUAGCUUAAUCCAUGUUACAUGGUCACUGGCAUUAUUAGUGCUUCUCUUUUAACACUGUAGGAAUUAAUCAAUUUGGUGGUGUAUUUAAUUAAUUCUAUCACUAGAGGAUUGUAAAAUUACAUAUAUGAAUACCUCACUUUAGAAGCCACUUAAUUUUUUUCCAAGGGGAUAUUUGACUAUAUUUCACUUGUGUCUUAAUGAUUUUAUAAUUUAAACCCUAAAUUAUAAAUCUAGAAUUUAGAAAGUAUAUUUCCUCACUGGAUUACAUUUUUGGAAAUAUUAUUUUAUAUGUGCACAAAUAUUACAAAAUCACUGUAGACACCUGAAA